rnacentral:rRNA from 1 species
GUUAGGAAUAUUGGACAAUGGGCGCAAGCCUGAUCCAGCCAUGCCGCGUGAGUGAUGAAGGCCUUCGGGUUGUAAAGCUCUUUAGCCGAUGAUUAUAAUGACUGUAGUCGGAAAAUAAGCCCCGGAUAACUUCGUGCCAGCAGCCGCGGUAAUACGAAGGGGGCGAGCGUUAUUCGGAAUCACUGGGCGUAAAGCGUGCGUAGGCGGCUUUGCAAGUUGGGAGUGAAAGCCCAGGGCUCAACCCUGGAAUUGCUCUCAAAACUGCAAGGCUCGAAUUCGGGAGAGGAUAGCGGAAUUGUCAGUGUAGCAGUGAAAUGCGUAGAUAUUGACAGGAACACCAGUGGCGUAAGCGGCUAUCUGGACCGAUAUUGACGCUGAGGCACGAAAGCGUGGGGAUCAAACAGGAUUAGAAACCCUAGUAGUCC